rnacentral:rRNA from 1 species
AGAGCGAACGCUGGCGGCAGGCCUAAAACAUGCAAGUCGAACGGACCCUUCGGGGUUAGUGGCGGACGGGUGAGUAACACGUGGGAACGUGCCUUUUGGUUCAGAACAACUCAGGGAAACUUGAGCUAAUACUGAAUAAAGCCCUACGGGGGAAAGAUUUAUCGCCAUUAGAGCGGCCCGCGUUGGAUUAGCUAGUUGGUGAGGUAAAGGCUCACCAAGGCUACGAUCCAUAGCUGGUCUGAGAGGAUGAUCAGCCACACUGGGACUGAGACACGGCCCAGACUCCUACGGGAGGCAGCAGUUAGGAAUCUUGCGCAAUGGGCGAAAGCCUGACGCAGCCAUGCCGCGUGAGUGAUGAAGACCUUCGGGUUGUAAAGCUCUGUCGGAGGGGAAGAACACAAUGACGGUACCCUCCAAGAAAGCCCCGGCUAACUACGUGCCAGCAGCCGC